AUGAACGCUGGCGGCGUGCCUAAUACAUGCAAGUCGAGCGAACGGACGAGAAGCUUGCUUCUCUGAUGUUAGCGGCGGACGGGUGAGUAACACGUGGAUAACCUACCUAUAAGACUGGGAUAACUUCGGGAAACCGGAGCUAAUACCGGAUAAUAUUUUGAACCGCAUGGUUCAAAAGUGAAAGACGGUCUUGCUGUCACUUAUAGAUGGAUCCGCGCUGCAUUAGCUAGUUGGUAAGGUAACGGCUUACCAAGGCAACGAUGCAUAGCCGACCUGAGAGGGUGAUCGGCCACACUGGAACUGAGACACGGUCCAGACUCCUACGGGAGGCAGCAGUAGGGAAUCUUCCGCAAUGGGCGAAAGCCUGACGGAGCAACGCCGCGUGAGUGAUGAAGGUCUUCGGAUCGUAAAACGCUGUUAUUAGGGAAGAACAUAUGUGUAAGUAACUGUGCACAUCUUGACGGUACCUAAUCAGAAAGCCACGGCUAACUACGU
rnacentral:rRNA from 1 species